rnacentral:rRNA from 1 species
CCUGGCUCAGGCUGAACGCUAGCUACAGGCUUAACACAUGCAAGUCGAGGGGCAGCAUUUUAGUUUGCUUGCAAACUGAAGAUGGCGACCGGCGCACGGGUGAGUAACACGUAUCCAACCUGCCGAUAACUCCGGGAUAGCCUUUCGAAAGAAAGAUUAAUACCGGAUGGCAUACGAAUAUCGCAUGAUAUUUUUAUUAAAGAAUUUCGGUUAUCGAUGGGGAUGCGUUCCAUUAGUUUGUUGGCGGGGUAACGGCCCACCAAGACUACGAUGGAUAGGGGUUCUGAGAGGAAGGUCCCCCACAUUGGAACUGAGACACGGUCCAAACUCCUACGGGAGGCAGCAGUGAGGAAUAUUGGUCAAUGGGCGAGAGCCUGAACCAGCCAAGUAGCGUGAAGGAUGAAGGCUCUAUGGGUCGUAAACUUCUUUUAUAUGGGAAUAAAGUUUUCCACGUGUGGAAUUUUGUAUGUACCAUAUGAAUAAGGAUCGGCUAACUCCGUGCCAGCAGCCGCGGUAAUACGGAGGAUCCGAGCGUUAUCCGGAUUUAUUGGGUUUAAAGGGAGCGUAGGUGGAUUGUUAAGUCAGUUGUGAAAGUUUGCGGCUCAACCGUAAAAUUGCAGUUGAAACUGGCAGUCUUGAGUACAGUAGAGGUGGGCGGAAUUCGUGGUGUAGCGGUGAAAUGCUUAGAUAUCACGAAGAACUCCGAUUGCGAAGGCAGCUCACUAGACUGUCACUGACACUGAUGCUCGAAAGUGUGGGUAUCAAACAGGAUUAGAUACCCUGGUAGUCCACACAGUAAACGAUGAAUACUCGCUGUUUGCGAUAUACAGUAAGCGGCCAAGCGAAAGCAUUAAGUAUUCCACCUGGGGAGUACGCCGGCAACGGUGAAACUCAAAGGAAUUGACGGGGGCCCGCACAAGCGGAGGAACAUGUGGUUUAAUUCGAUGAUACGCGAGGAACCUUACCCGGGCUUAAAUUGCAACAGAAUAUAUUGGAAACAGUAUAGCCGUAAGGCUGUUGUGAAGGUGCUGCAUGGUUGUCGUCAGCUCGUGCCGUGAGGUGUCGGCUUAAGUGCCAUAACGAGCGCAACCCUUAUCUUUAGUUACUAACAGGUCAUGCUGAGGACUCUAGAGAGACUGCCGUCGUAAGAUGUGAGGAAGGUGGGGAUGACGUCAAAUCAGCACGGCCCUUACGUCCGGGGCUACACACGUGUUACAAUGGGGGGUACAGAAGGCGGCUACCUGGUGACAGGAUGCUAAUCCCAAAAACCUCUCUCAGUUCGGACUGGAGUCUGCAACCAGACUCCACGAAGCUGGAUUCGCUAGUAAUCGCGCAUCAGCCACGGCGCGGUGAAUACGUUCCCGGGCCUUGUACACAC